rnacentral:ncRNA from 1 species
GGUCCUGACUUUAUUAUCAGCUUUAACUGAACUUACACAUGCGAGUCUCCGCACUCCUGUGAGGAUGCCCUUAAUCCCCUGCCCGGGGACGAGGAGCCGGCAUCAGGCACGCCCCGGCAGCCCAAGACGCCUUGCUAAGCCACACCCCCAAGGAAACUCAGCAGUGAUAGAUAUUAAGCUAUAAGCGAAAGCUUGACUUAGUUAAGGUUAAGAGGGCCGGUAAAACUCGUGCCAGCCACCGCGGUUAUACGAGAGGCCCUAGUUGAUGAUCACCGGCGUAAAGAGUGGUUAGGAAUUAUAUUUAAUAAAGCCGAACACCCCCUUGGCUGUCAUACGCACCUGGGGGCACGAAGCCCCACUGCGAAAGCAGCUUUAAUCACCACCUGAACCCACGACAGCUAUGACACAAACUGGGAUUAGAUACCCCACUAUGCCUAGCCGUAAACUUUGAUGGAAACAUACAACUAACAUCCGCCAGGGAACUACAAGCGCCAGCUUAAAACCCAAAGGACUUGGCGGUGCCUCAGACCCACCUAGAGGAGCCUGUUCUAGAACCGAUAACCCCCGUUCAACCUCACCACCUCUUGUUUUCCCCGCCUAUAUACCACCGUCGUCAGCUUACCCUGUGAAGGAUUUAUAGUAAGCAAAAUGGGCAUGACCCAAAACGUCAGGUCGAGGUGUAGCGCAUGGGGUGGGAAGAAAUGGGCUACAUUCUCUAAAUUAGAGCAUUACGAACCACGCUGUGAAACCAGCGUCCGAAGGUGGAUUUAGCAGUAAACAGAAAGCAGAGAGUUCUCUUGAAACUGGCUCUGAGGCGCGCACACACCGCCCGUCACUCUCCCCAAGUUCAAUAUACCCUUCUAAUUAAGAAGUUAACCGAACAAAGGGGAGGCAAGUCGUAACAUGGUAAGUGUACCGGAAGGUGCACUUGGAAUAACCAGAGUGUAGCUAAGACAGAAGAGCACCUCCCUUACACCGAGAAGACAUCCGUGCAAAUCGGGUCACCCUGAGCUGACUAGCUAGCCCACACAUUUGGUCUAACACCACAACAUACAUACCCCCACAAAACUUAGAAUUAAGUCAACAAACCAUUUUUCCCCCUUAGUAUGGGCGACAGAAAAGGGAAUGAUUGAGCAACAGAGAAAGUACCGCAAGGGAAAGCUGAAAGAGAACUGAAACAACCCAUUAAGCCUAG